rnacentral:rRNA from 1 species
AACGAACGCUGGCGGCAUGCCUAACACAUGCAAGUCGAACGAGACCUUCGGGUCUAGUGGCGCACGGGUGCGUAACGCGUGGGAACCUGCCCUUAGGUUCGGAAUAACUCCCCGAAAGGGGUGCUAAUACCGGAUAAUGUCUUCGGACCAAAGAUUUAUCGCCUUUGGAUGGGCCCGCGUUGGAUUAGCUAGUUGGUAGGGUAAAAGCCUACCAAGGCGACGAUCCAUAGCUGGUCUGAGAGGAUGAUCAGCCACACUGGGACUGAGACACGGCCCAGACUCCUACGGGAGGCAGCAGUGGGGAAUAUUGGACAAUGGGCGAAAGCCUGAUCCAGCAAUGCCGCGUGAGUGAUGAAGGCCUUAGGGUUGUAAAGCUCUUUUACCCGGGAUGAUAAUGACAGUACCGGGAGAAUAAGCUCCGGAUAACUCCGUG